ensembl:snRNA U6 U6 spliceosomal RNA
AUGCUCACUUUGGCAGCACAUGUACUACAACUGGAAAAAUCCAGGGAACAUUAGCAUGAUCCCUGUGCAAGGAUGACCUGCAUAUUUAUGAAUCUUUUCAUAUUACA